rnacentral:rRNA from 1 species
UAAGGAAUAUUGGUCAAUGGACGCAAGUCUGAACCAGCCAUGCCGCGUGAAGGAUGAAGGUCCUCUGGAUUGUAAACUUCUUUUAUCUGGGACGAAAACGGGAUUUUUAUCUCAAUUGACAGUACCAGAGGAAUAAGCACCGGCUAACUCCGUGCCAGCAGCCGCGGUAAUACGGAGGGUGCGAGCGUUAUCCGGAUUUACUGGGUUUAAAGGGUGCGUAGGUGGGCUUAUAAGUCAGUGGUGAAAUCUCCGAGCUUAACUUGGAAACUGCCGUUGAUACUAUAGGUCUUGAAUUAUCUGGAGGUAAGCGGAAUAUGUCAUGUAGCGGUGAAAUGCUUAGAUAUGACAUAGAACACCAAUUGCGAAGGCAGCUUACUACAUAUAAAUUGACGCUGAGGCACGAAAGCGUGGGGAUCAAACA